AUACUUACCUGGCAGGGGAGAUACCAUGAUCAAGAAGGUGGUUGUCCCAGGGUGAGGUUUAUCCAUUGCACUCCAGAUGUGCUGACCCCUGAGAUUUCCCCAAAUAUGGGAAACUUGACUGCAUAAUUUGUAGUAGUGGGGGACUGAGUUUGCGCUCUCCCCUG
rnacentral:snRNA from 1 species